AGAUUGAACGCUGGCGGCAUGCUUUACACAUGCAAGUCGAGCGGCAGCGCGGGGCUCAGGCAACUGAGUUCUGGCGGCGAGCGGCGAACGGGUGAGUAACACAUCGGAACGUAUCCCGUAGAGGGGGAUAGCCCGGCGAAAGCCGGAUUAAUACCGCAUAUGCUCUACGGAGGAAAGUGGGGGACUCGCAAGGGCCUCACGCUAUGGGAGCGGCCGAUGGCCGAUUAGCUAGUUGGUGGGGUAAAGGCCUACCAAGGCGACGACGGGUA
rnacentral:rRNA from 1 species